AAGGUAGCAUAAUCAUUAGUUUCUUAAUUAGAAGCUGGAAUGAAGGGUCGAAUGAGAGAAUAGCUGUCUCUAUUUAAAUUUAUUAGAAUUUUAUUUUUAAGUUAAAAAGCUUAAAUUUUUAUUGAAGACGAGAAGACCCUAUAGAGUUUUAUAAAUUUGGCUAUAAAAAAUUUUAGUAUUAUAAAAGUUUAUUGUUGUGUUUAUUUAGUUGGGGUGAUUGAAAAAUUAAUAAAACUUUUUUUUUAUUUUAACACUAAUUUGUGAUUAGUUGAUCCUUUUUUUAAGAUUAAAAGAUAAAAUUAC
rnacentral:rRNA from 1 species